rnacentral:tRNA from 2 species
GCCUCUGUAGCUCAGUUGGUAGAGCGACUGCUUCGUAAGCAGUAGGUCGUGGGUUCGAUCCCCACCGGAGGCU